rnacentral:tRNA from 1 species
GAGGGUAUAGCUCAGUGGUAAAGUGCAUGCCUAGCAUGCAAAGGGUCCUGGGUUCAUUCCCCAGUACUUCCA